rnacentral:rRNA from 1 species
GUAGGUGGCAAGCGUUGUCCGGGAAUUAUUGGGCGUAAAGCGCGCGCAGGGCGGUCCUUUAAGUCUGAUGUGAAAGCCCACGGCUCAACCGUGGAGGGUCAUUGGAAACUGGGGGACUUGAGUACAGAAGAGGAAAGCGGAAUUCCAAGUGUAGCGGUGAAAUGCGUAGAGAUUUGGAGGAACACCAGUGGCGAAGGCGGCUUUCUGGUCUGUAACUGACGCUGAGGCGCGAAAGCGUGGGGAGCAAACAGGAUUAGAUACCCUGGUAGUCCACGCCGUAAACGAUGAGUGCUAAGUGUUAGGGGGUUUCCGCCCCUUAGUGCUGCAGCUAACGCAUUAAGCACUCCGCCUGGGGAGUACGGCCGCAAGGCUG